rnacentral:rRNA from 1 species
AACGAACGCUGGCGGCAUGCCUAACACAUGCAAGUCGAACGAGAUCUUCGGGUCUAGUGGCGCACGGGUGCGUAACGCGUGGGAAUCUGCCCUUUGGUUCGGAAUAACAGUUGGAAACGACUGCUAAUACCGGAUGAUGACGAAAGUCCAAAGAUUUAUCGCCAGAGGAUGAGCCCGCGUAGGAUUAGCUAGUUGGUGUGGUAAAGGCGCACCAAGGCGACGAUCCUUAGCUGGUCUGAGAGGAUGAUCAGCCACACUGGGACUGAGACACGGCCCAGACCCCUACGGGAGGCAGCAGUGGCGAAUAUUGGACAGUGGGCGAAGGCCUGAUCCAGCAAUGCCGCGUGAGUGAUGAAGGCCUUAGGGUGGUAAAGCUCUUUUACCCGGGAUGAUAAUGACAGUACCGGGAGAAUAAGCUCCGGCUAACUCCGUGCCAGCCGCCGCCGUAA